rnacentral:rRNA from 1 species
AUCCCAUAGCAAACUGCUCAGUAACACAUGAUCAACUUGCCCUAUGGAGGACAAUAACCUCGGGAAACUGAGGAUAAUAGUCCAUAGUUGAUUAGGCUUGGAGAAGUUUUUCAAUGAAUGGAAUAAGAAAAAUGGUUCUUAUUUGCCAUAGGAUAGGAUCGUGCUCGAUUAUGGUUGUUGGUGAGGUAAAGGCUCACCAAGCCGAUAAUCNAUAGGGGCCGUGAGAGCGGUUGCCCCGAGAUGGGUACUGAGACAACGACCCAGGCCUUACGAGGCGCAGCAGGCGCGAAACCUCCGCAAUACACGAAAGUGUGACGGGGUUACCCAAAGUGUUCAAUUUGAACUGUGGUAGGUGAGUAAUGUCCCCUACUAAAAAGGAGAGGGCAAGGCUGGUGCCACCCGCCGCGGUAAAACCAGCUCUUCAAGUGGUCGGGAUAAUUAUUGGGCUUAAAGUGUCCGUAGCCGGUUUAGUAAGUUCCUGGUAAAAUCGGGUAGCUUAACUAUCUGCAUGCUAGGAAUACUGCUAUACUAGAGGGCGGGAGAGGUCUGAGGUACUACAGGGGUAGGGGUGAAAUCUUAUAAUCCUUGUAGGACCACCAGUGGCGAAGGCGUCAGA